rnacentral:sRNA from 1 species
GAAGUCUUAAUUAAAAAUGGUGCUGAUAUAAGCUUGCUGGAUGCGCUUGGCCAUGAUAGUUCUUACUAUGCAAGAAUUGGUGACAAUCUGGACAUUCUAACCUUGUUGAAGACUGCAUCGGAAAAUACCAACAAAGGGAGAGAACUUUGGAAGAAAGGGCCAUCUUUGCAACAGCGAAAUUUGACACACAUGCAAGAUGAAGUAAAUGCGAAGUCACAUCAGAGGGAGCAUCAAAAUAUUCAGGAUUUGGAGAUUGAAAAUGAAGAUUUGAAAGAGAGGUUGAGAAAAAUUCAGCAAGAACAAAGAAUACUUUUGGAUAAAGUCAAUGGUUUACAGUUACAGCUGAAUGAGGAAGUUAUGGUUGCUGAUGAUCUGGAAAGCGAGAGAGAAAAGCUGAAGUCCCUUUUGGCAGCUAAAGAAAAGCAACAUGAAGAAAGCUUAAGGACUAUUGAGGCUCUGAAAAAUAGAUUUAAAUAUUUUGAGGUAUAGAAAGGUUAAAUUAUUUCCUGUAAUUCAUAAUGGGUAAUGGUAAGGCUCUUGGCAUCAGACUUGAAUUUGAAUUAUAAAUCUCUUAUUUAUAGUGUGACCUUGGGCUGCUUAUUUAAAGUCUUCAAACUUGUUGCCUCUUUGGCAAAACUGAGGUGACUGUCUCUUUCUCCACAUAGUUAU